GAUGAAGAACGUAGCGAAAUGCGAUACUUGGUGUGAAUUGCAGAAUCCCGUGAACCAUCGAGUCUUUGAUCGCAAGUUGCGCCCGAAGCCAUUAGGCCGAGGGCACGCCUGCCUGGGCGUCACACGUCGUUGCCCCCCCAUCUACUCCUUCGGGAUUGCGGGGGGCGGAUGAUGGCCUCCCGUGCGCCUCGCCGCGCGGUUGGCAUAAAUGCCAAGUCCUCGGCGACGCACGCCACGACAAUCGGUGGUUGCGAAACCUCGGUUGCCCGUCGUGUGCGGUCGUCGCGCAUCGAGGGCUCGAAAAAAUUGCCGGGUUCCGGCUCGGCUUUCAACGCGACCCCAGGUCAGGCGGGGUUACCCGCUGAAUUUAAGCAUAUCAAUAAGCGGAGGA
rnacentral:misc_RNA from 1 species